GCCUGGGUGGCUCAGUCGGUUGAGCGUCCGACUUCAGCUCAGGUCAUGAUCUCACAGUUCGUGAGUUCGAGCCCCACGUCGGGCU
rnacentral:tRNA from 1 species